rnacentral:rRNA from 3 species
GGGUUGUGAGGUUAAGCGACUAAGCGUACACGGUGGAUGCCCUGGCAGUCAGAGGCGAUGAAGGACGUGCUAAUCUGCGAUAAGCGUCGGUGAGGUGAUAUGAACCGUUAUAACCGGCGAUUUCCGAAUGGGGAAACCCAGUGUGUUUCGACACACUAUCAUUAACUGAAUCCAUAGGUUAAUGAGGCGAACCGGGGGAACUGAAACAUCUAAGUACCCCGAGGAAAAGAAAUCAACCGAGAUUCCCCCAGUAGCGGCGAGCGAACGGGGAGGAGCCCAGAGCCUGAAUCAGUGUGUGUGUUAGUGGAAGCGUCUGGAAAGGCGCGCGAUACAGGGUGACAGCCCCGUACACAAAAAUGCACAUACUGUGAGCUCGAUGAGUAGGGCGGGACACGUGGUAUCCUGUCUGAAUAUGGGGGGACCAUCCUCCAAGGCUAAAUACUCCUGACUGACCGAUAGUGAACCAGUACCGUGAGGGAAAGGCGAAAAGAACCCCGGCGAGGGGAGUGAAAAAGAACCUGAAACCGUGUACGUACAAGCAGUGGGAGCCUCUUAAUGGGGUGACUGCGUACCUUUUGUAUAAUGGGUCAGCGACUUAUAUUCUGUAGCAAGGUUAACCGAAUAGGGGAGCCGAAGGGAAACCGAGUCUUAACUGGGCGUUAAGUUGCAGGGUAUAGACCCGAAACCCGGUGAUCUAGCCAUGGGCAGGUUGAAGGUUGGGUAACACUAACUGGAGGACCGAACCGACUAAUGUUGAAAAAUUAGCGGAUGACUUGUGGCUGGGGGUGAAAGGCCAAUCAAACCGGGAGAUAGCUGGUUCUCCCCGAAAGCUAUUUAGGUAGCGCCUCGUGAAUUCAUCUCCGGGGGUAGAGCACUGUUUCGGCAAGGGGGUCAUCCCGACUUACCAACCCGAUGCAAACUGCGAAUACCGGAGAAUGUUAUCACGGGAGACACACGGCGGGUGCUAACGUCCGUCGUGAAGAGGGAAACAACCCAGACCGCCAGCUAAGGUCCCAAAGUCAUGGUUAAGUGGGAAACGAUGUGGGAAGGCCCAGACAGCCAGGAUGUUGGCUUAGAAGCAGCCAUCAUUUAAAGAAAGCGUAAUAGCUCACUGGUCGAGUCGGCCUGCGCGGAAGAUGUAACGGGGCUAAACCAUGCACCGAAGCUGCGGCAGCGACACUAUGUGUUGUUGGGUAGGGGAGCGUUCUGUAAGCCUGUGAAGGUGUACUGUGAGGUAUGCUGGAGGUAUCAGAAGUGCGAAUGCUGACAUAAGUAACGAUAAAGCGGGUGAAAAGCCCGCUCGCCGGAAGACCAAGGGUUCCUGUCCAACGUUAAUCGGGGCAGGGUGAGUCGACCCCUAAGGCGAGGCCGAAAGGCGUAGUCGAUGGGAAACAGGUUAAUAUUCCUGUACUUGGUGUUACUGCGAAGGGGGGACGGAGAAGGCUAUGUUGGCCGGGCGACGGUUGUCCCGGUUUAAGCGUGUAGGCUGGUUUUCCAGGCAAAUCCGGAAAAUCAAGGCUGAGGCGUGAUGACGAGGCACUACGGUGCUGAAGCGACAAAUGCCCUGCUUCCAGGAAAAGCCUCUAAGCAUCAGGUAACAUCAAAUCGUACCCCAAACCGACACAGGUGGUCAGGUAGAGAAUACCAAGGCGCUUGAGAGAACUCGGGUGAAGGAACUAGGCAAAAUGGUGCCGUAACUUCGGGAGAAGGCACGCUGAUAUGUAGGUGAAGCGACUUGCUCGUGGAGCUGAAAUCAGUCGAAGAUACCAGCUGGCUGCAACUGUUUAUUAAAAACACAGCACUGUGCAAACACGAAAGUGGACGUAUACGGUGUGACGCCUGCCCGGUGCCGGAAGGUUAAUUGAUGGGGUUAGCGGUAACGCGAAGCUCUUGAUCGAAGCCCCGGUAAACGGCGGCCGUAACUAUAACGGUCCUAAGGUAGCGAAAUUCCUUGUCGGGUAAGUUCCGACCUGCACGAAUGGCGUAAUGAUGGCCAGGCUGUCUCCACCCGAGACUCAGUGAAAUUGAACUCGCUGUGAAGAUGCAGUGUACCCGCGGCAAGACGGAAAGACCCCGUGAACCUUUACUAUAGCUUGACACUGAACAUUGAGCCUUGAUGUGUAGGAUAGGUGGGAGGCUUUGAAGUGUGGACGCCAGUCUGCAUGGAGCCGACCUUGAAAUACCACCCUUUAAUGUUUGAUGUUCUAACGUGGGCCCCUUACCGGGGUUGCGGACAGUGUCUGGUGGGUAGUUUGACUGGGGCGGUCUCCUCCUAAAGAGUAACGGAGGAGCACGAAGGUUGGCUAAUCCUGGUCGGACAUCAGGAGGUUAGUGCAAUGGCAUAAGCCAGCUUGACUGCGAGCGUGACGGCGCGAGCAGGUGCGAAAGCAGGUCAUAGUGAUCCGGUGGUUCUGAAUGGAAGGGCCAUCGCUCAACGGAUAAAAGGUACUCCGGGGAUAACAGGCUGAUACCGCCCAAGAGUUCAUAUCGACGGCGGUGUUUGGCACCUCGAUGUCGGCUCAUCACAUCCUGGGGCUGAAGUAGGUCCCAAGGGUAUGGCUGUUCGCCAUUUAAAGUGGUACGCGAGCUGGGUUUAGAACGUCGUGAGACAGUUCGGUCCCUAUCUGCCGUGGGCGCUGGAGAACUGAGGGGGGCUGCUCCUAGUACGAGAGGACCGGAGUGGACGCAUCACUGGUGUUCGGGUUGUCAUGCCAAUGGCACUGCCCGGUAGCUAAAUGCGGAAGAGAUAAGUGCUGAAAGCAUCUAAGCACGAAACUUGCCCCGAGAUGAGUUCUCCCUGACUCCUUGAGAGUCCUGAAGGAACGUUGAAGACGACGACGUUGAUAGGCCGGGUGUGUAAGCGCAGCGAUGCGUUGAGCUAACCGGUACUAAUGAACCGUGAGGCUUAACCUUACAACGCCGAAG